rnacentral:rRNA from 1 species
AGAGUUUGAUCAUGGCUCAGGACGAACGCUGGCGGCGUGCUUAACACAUGCAAGUCGAACGCUGAAGCUCAGCUUUUGUUGGGUGGAUGAGUGGCGAACGGGUGAGUAACACGUGAGUAACCUGCCCCCUUCUUUGGGAUAACGCCCGGAAACGGGUGCUAAUACUGGAUAUUCACUGGUCUUCGCAUGGGGGUUGGUGGAAAGGGUUUUUCUGGUGGGGGAUGGGCUCGCGGCCUAUCAGCUUGUUGGUGGGGUGAUGGCCUACCAAGGCUUUGACGGGUAGCCGGCCUGAGAGGGUGACCGGUCACAUUGGGACUGAGAUACGGCCCAGACUCCUACGGGAGGCAGCAGUGGGGAAUAUUGCACAAUGGGCGCAAGCCUGAUGCAGCGACGCCGCGUGAGGGAUGGAGGCCUUCGGGUUGUGAACCUCUUUCGCUCAUGGUCAAGCCGCAACAAUGGUUGUGGUGAGGGUAGUGGGUAAAGAAGCGCCGGCUAACUACGUGCCAGCAGCCGCGGUAAUACGUAGGGCGCGAGCGUUGUCCGGAAUUAUUGGGCGUAAAGGGCUUGUAGGCGGUUGGUCGCGUCUGCCGUGAAAUCCUCUGGCUUAACUGGGGGCGUGCGGUGGGUACGGGCUGACUUGAGUGCGGUAGGGGAGACUGGAACUCCUGGUGUAGCGGUGGAAUGCGCAGAUAUCAGGAAGAACACCGGUGGCGAAGGCGGGUCUCUGGGCCGUUACUGACGCUGAGGAGCGAAAGCGUGGGGAGCGAACAGGAUUAGAUACCCUGGUAGUCCACGCUGUAAACGUUGGGCACUAGGUGUGGGGGCCACCCGUGGUUUCUGCGCCGUAGCUAACGCUUUAAGUGCCCCGCCUGGGGAGUACGGCCGCAAGGCUAAAACUCAAAGGAAUUGACGGGGGCCCGCACAAG